UUACUUUGAGCUAAGUUUUGUAAUACCGCUAAGAUUUUCCCCUAAAAAUUAGCCGAAUUAUUAUGCUCUAAAAUAUCCCGCUCUUUCCAUGUUUUACCCACUCUACAAUAGAAUCUCAUCUUUCAUCUUCUCUACAAUUUGGCUCUUCUAACUAGGAAGCAAAUUAGUGUGGGUUUUAUGAAAAUCUAUGAUGAAGGCACUACGUCUCUUCUAGUUUCUCUUCUAAAAACUCAAAUAACUCUUUUCGUCUGGAUUUUUCGGCCAUCAGUUGCAAUUGGGGAUUUUGAUUUUUGGGCUUACAGUCGUUGUAUCUCCAUUUUUCAAAAGCUUGUGUAAGAUUUCUCUGAAAUUUUUGGUUUCAGUUUAAUUACUUUGUGAUUUGGCUUGUCUGAAAUUCCUAGAAUUCCCUUUUUUUUGUUUAAUGGCUUCUUUGAAGUUUUUUUGAAAUUGAUUUUCUUAUUUAGUUGAUAGCUUUGCGAUUUGUUUAGUUAAAGAAUUGUACAAAAUCCUAUGAUAAUUUUAUUUUGAAAAUAUCAGCUUUUUUGGACUCUUUUGAUGGUAGACGCAACAGCGAUCCUCAAUGUGGUGUUCUUGGCCUUCAGUAUCUCAUCGCUAAAGGCCCUCCCAAUGAUGACGCCCUUCUUUCCCUCAUCGCUCGAUCGUAAGCCCUCUUAUAUUUAUUUUAAAUUUUCUGCCUAAACUAAUUGUUCGAGUUAUUUAUAUAUAAAGAGUUAUUCCAAUAUUUGGUAUUUUAUUCACUCAUUCUAACAUGUCCAAAUUCUUGUUUUGCUCUAAUAUCAUGUUAUUAUGUAUGAAUAGACUCAACUUAAAAGCUUAAAUUGAUCGACAUAGUGUAUUUUAAAUGUAUUUAUUUUAAGUAGGAUAAAGGUACAAAUUUAUACCUCUUCUGUACAAAAAUAAUUUUAAUCUUUGCUAUCCUUUUUAUUUUAGAGGCAUUCAUACCCUGCGUUAGUAGACUGUCCUUUGACUUUAAUUAGCUCCAUCUUGAAAUGUGUGGAUAGCACACUUCGAAAUACUUUCGAAAAAUGUCCAAAAUUAUACAUCUACUUUGACUAUAAUUUAAAAUUAACACCUUAUACUUCAUGUUGGAAUUACGUUACUGCACAUCGAAAAUAUGUUAUGAUUUGCUAAUGAAAAAAGUAUGAAUGACCUUCAAAGUCUAAUGAAGGAUAAAACUAAAUUAUUUAAAAUAGAUGGUUGUCGAGGGUCUGUCAAAACAAUCUCUCUGUCUUUAUAGGGCAUGGGUAAUGCUGCGUACACACUAUCAUUCCCAGACCACACGUAUGGAAUUAAGCUUAGUUUGUUGUUAUUGUUAUUUAUAUAUAAGUUUUCUUUGUGAUGAAAAAACUCACGGAAUACACCAAAAGUCGAGAUUUGGAGAACCUUCUUACCAUGUAACUCUAUUCCAUUAAUUUUUCUUCAGUUCCAUUAGAAUGUGGGGUGGCAAUACUAUUAAGAACAUAUUUCAAUCUUGGUGUGCAUAUUUUUUACUUAGUGAUGUGCACGUUUGUUCCACAAUGUAUAUAAGCUACCUUAGAAAUUAACUGUGUAUUAAAUAGUAAUAAUCUAAACGUGUAGUGAAAGCCUCAACUCUAAAUUGAGUAGUAUAGUUCGUUAUUAUUUUCGCAGGAACAUGCUUUCUUCUUUGCUUCUUAUGUGAUAGUGGCUUCAAAAAUUUGUGGAAUGUAUUUAAUUUGCUUAAGUAUUAGUGUCAUUUUGCAUAUUGCUUCUAUAAUACCAUGACAAUGGAGUUUAUGAUCAUAAUUUGAGUUAUGAAGCAAUAAUUGCUUGGUUUAUGAAGAAUAUUAUUGCUUGGUUGGUUGUAAUAAAUUAUUGGUUGUAAAUUUGUACUAAUAAACUGUUGAAAAGAAUAUUAGUGUUUCCAUUUUUUUGCUUGGUUUAGAAGCAAACAUCUUUGGUGAAGGGGAAUAGAGCUUUCAUUUUCAGGUAUAAUCUUUCAUCUCGGUUAUUUUAAAUUUUUUGUAAUACUUCAACUAUUUAAUUACAUCUUCCUGACAUUGCUAAUAUAUGAUUCCAUCAGUUUCUUUAAGAUUGAUAGGCACAGUCGAAUGUUCUCUAGUAACGGCAGAAUUCUUGAAAAAUUUGACAAGAUGCUAGUUACUAUUGCAGAUUUACUUUAGUUAAAAAUAUUUGUGUCAUAAUUUUGAACAAGCUAAACUCUUCCCCUACAAGCUUUUAGUAGAAGACAAUUUAUUUAAUGGAAUCCAGUUCGUUUGUCCAUUUAUCAUAUAGAUUAAGUUGAAAUUAUUAUAGAAACCCAUAAACUUAAAAAUCUAAAUUUGCCUCUGUUUAUGCUUGCUUGUCCAAAAUGCAUGAAUAUUGUAUAUAUUAAACUAAGAUAUAAUGGAAGUUGUUGAACGAUUUAUGUGAAAGAACUUUAUUUAUAGCUUUAUCAGCUUUCCUCAACAGAAGCUAAAACUGCAUACUCAUUCAUUUCGGUCUUCACAUGACUUUUAAGAUCAUAAAUAAAUAAAAAAUUUGCCUUAGCUAAAGGAACAAAUUCAGUUUAUGAUAGGGCGAAAAAGAGGAAUUAUGCUCAAGGCCUUAUAUUUAUAGCAGACAUCUAUUCUUUGAAUAGUGCUUGGUUCUUAAAUUUCCUAGGGCAAACUCUGCCACAUUUCUUUGAGUUUGCACUAACAUACUAUCGAAUUCUAUCUAAUUAUUAAUUUUAUUUUGAUUCUAUAGGAAAUUCUGGUGAGCAAUUGGAAAUGGAAGCCAAAAGACAAUUUGAUGAAGACUUUGGACAAUUAUGAUUUUGUUAUUCUUGAUACUAUAGUGAUACAUUUGAUUUUGUACAAGUUAAUUUCUAGUAUGCACCUUGAAAUAUUUGAAUUUUUUGUUGAUGUACUACCUGAGAUUUAUUCCCGUUUUGAAGUUCAUUGCAAGUAUAUAUAUUCG
rnacentral:lncRNA from 1 species